CACCAUUUUUUGCGCGUUUUUUCAGUUGCGCGAUUGUUCCCUGGUUUCGUGUCGGGCGCCUUAAUUACCUUUGAAAAACGUUCACUCCUGCCUGUAUCACUUUUGAACGUGACCUACGGGGUUCUCAUCAAGGAUGCCAUAUCGAUCAACCAUGCCUGAUCUCGGGCCUGGGUUCUCAUCAAGGAUGCCAUAUCGAUCAACCAUGCCUGAUCUCGGGCCUGGGUUCUCAUCAAGGAUGCCAUAUCGAACAACCAUGCCUGAUCUCGGGCCUGGGUUCUCAUCAAGGAUGCCAUAUCGAACAACCAUGCCUGAUCUCGGGCCUGGGUUCUCAUCAAGGAUGCCAUAUCGAUCAACCAUGCCUGAUCUUGGGCCUGAGUUCUCAUCAAGGAUGCCAUAUCGAUCAACCAUGCCUGACCUCGGGCCUGCAGAACAAAGCUGUACUGAAGAAAGUCUGGUCGGUAACAACGAAAUGUGGAUGCACCCCCGUCAAGCGUGUUGGUGUCCAAGGUCGGCCGGUUCUUGCUGGACUGCUGAUCCAGAGAAUGUGAAACUGCGUCUGUUGUCUUCCAGCCUACAAAUGCCUCGUAGGCCUGCACUAUACUGCUGCUACAGGAACCAGGUGUGAUGAAACGCUGACCCCGGCCUCC